AUCGCACCAAUCACUCUAUCUCCGAUUGCGAAAAUUGUCCUGAUUUUUGCUUUUGCUAUUUAUAUAUACUACAAAAGAAUAGUGCCACACAUCUCCCUUAUUCUUAAAGAGAAAGGUCGGUGCACCGGCCAAAAGACUAUAAUGCCCCUUUAAGAGAGUAGUCGUACGCUUUAAGUGUGUGGCUAGGGUUUUCUUCCAGAUCUUUCAUCUCAUUCUGCUCUCACUAUCUCGAUCUUGCUUGCUUGCUCUCGCCAUCUUGCAACAAUUGCUGCUAUCAAUAUCUCUCAAUGGCUUGCUGUUUAGGUUGUUUGUGUCCUGAAGUGUCUUGCUCUCUGAUCUCAAGGGGUUUUUUUCCAGCUCUUUGCUUAAUUACAACAGUCUGAGUUACAAAAUACAAGAUUCAGGCAAAUUACUUGGUUGUGGGUCAAAAGGGAACGAAAUUGGCUGGAGAACAUUCAGAGGAAGAAAAGGAUUCGAGUAACAGGACAUCUUUAUAGAAGACAACCUGAUUUCGACCAAUCAGAGAAGAGCAGGUGAAUACAGAACACACAAGUUAGAUUUAAUUAUGUUUCAAUGCUCAUUUAAAUUAUCAAAACUCAAAAGAAUGUGCACUCCAGUUACUGCAUUUCUGCAGGACUUUGUUUGAAAUCUUUUGUUAGGUUGUGAAUGGAAUUGAGCAAAUUACUAGCAAGUUAAAACAUAGAAGAGGAGUUUUUAAAGGGUAGUUGGCCCUCUCUUGCCACAACAUCAUGUUGAGCUGGUGAGUUCUUUCCCACUUCUUGCUGAAAAUCAACAACCCUUCAACAGAAAAAGAAAAUAAAAUAUAAAAGAGUAAAUUACAGUUUUCGUCCUUUGAAAAGUUUUGAAUGAAAGGGUACUUCCUACCUCUUUCUCUCUCUCUCUCUCUCUCUAGAACACACUAUGUUUCCGAGUUUACUAAAUGUAUAUGUCGUGAAAGUUAUGAUUGGAGAUGGCGAUGAUGCUUAUUUCUGUAUGGAUUAUUUUCCGAACAUCAUAAUCGGGCUUAGGGUUAGAUCCGGCCCGUAUCUUGGCGGGGCAACCCGGAUGGUAUGUGAGAUGCAACCGGUGUUGCAGCCAUGACGGAUAGGGCAAAACUCUACAACAACAAUCAUCAAUCUCCGUAGCUACAAUCCACAUGAAGGUGUUGACAGUGAGAAAAAGGAACAAUUGGCAUGCAAUCUGCACACUUUUUCAUCUAAUUCCAACACAAAACCAAAUUUUUUAUCAGUCCUAUUUAUUAUGCCCACUAUGGCUGCUGAAAAAUCUGACGUUUUAUUGGCCGAACAAAUCAAACAAGCAGUUAAUGAAGCUUUUAAAGGUUUUGUCAGCUAAUAAGUUUUCACAAGCGAUUGAUUUGUAUACAAAAGCGAUAGAAUUAAAUGGUCAAAAUGCUGUGUAUUGGGCGAAUCGGGCUUUUUCUCAUACUAAAUUGGAGGAAUAUGGUAGUGCUAUUCAGGAUGCUUCUAGGGCUAUUGACAUUGACCCUAAGUAUUCAAAGGCGGCUACUUGGCACACGCUCAUCUGUCCUGAAAAAUUACAAUUUUGCCCCUAGUUUAAAAUUAGUCUUUCCAUCGUUUUAGUUUUUUUUUAGCAAAAAUAAAGUAGUGUUUUGUUUUAAUUGUUAACUCGAUGUAAUUUUUUUUAGAUCGUGUUAGUCGAAUACAUACACGUCUAUGAAAUGCAUUUUUUUAAAUAUACGCAUGCUUCUUUUUGUCUUUUAAAAAAGUUAUAUUAUAUCACGUAUGGCUUAAUACAAACAAAUUAAUCACUUUUUUAUAAUGUUAGUGUGAUUAGGUAUGGAUUUAAUUAUUAAUACAAAACAAUUUACUCAAAUUUGUAUACUGUCAGUGUGAUUAGGUAUACAUAAUGUUAUAUUUCAUUGACGUUUACAUUUUAUUAUUUUUCUUCCUUUGGUGCAAGUGGGGAAUAUCAAUAGGUUUUCCAAAAAAUUUCUUUGAAGGGGACCUCGAUCUGUUAUAUAAUUGUGUGUGGACAUACACACACAUCGAUUGCCAAAAUCACUAUAACAGUUUCAAAGUAGGAAGAUGAGUCACUAUAACAGUUAAAGUAGGCUAUAUAUCGGUAAAAGUUUAUUUGAUUUUGGACUUUUCUUGAGCCUAACCUAAAAUCGAACCAAACCGAAUUAAAAAUGUGUAUAAUAGAACCGAAUUCUACUGAUUAAACUGACUUAGUCCGUUCAAUUAUCUAAUUAAACCGGCUAUUAUGCGUUUAUUUAGAAAGAUUUAUAGAGCUGAUAACCAAACCGAAUAAGCAAUUCAGAUAUGGUUAGCUAGGAACCUAAUCGAAUAAUUGAAAAAUAUUCCACUUAUUCGAUUUUCGGUUUGGUUUUUUUCCUUAGGAUGCAUUCAAUUUUCGGGUUUUUUUCUCGUUACGGAUAAUGUGAAAGGGCGUUUUUUCUAAGUAUAUAUGCUUCUUUUGUCUUGAUCAAUAAAAUAUUUUUUAUCAAACGUAUGUGUGGGUUCCAAGAAGUUUCUACUCAGGUUAAUAUAUAUACUAAAGAAAUGAGAAGCAACGUCGACAAAGACGACUGACUCUUGUUGACCAAUAUUGCUCUCUGGUCAUAAUCCAACUUAAGACCAUGAAUUACCUAUUUUUUGUAUAAUCAAGAAAAGCACUAAGGGUGUAAGGGGUGCUCACCUAAUAGGUGAGUCCCCCCUCUUACACGUAACCAACCAGAAUAAGCCACGUCAACUCCCCUCUAACACUCCCCUAAUACCCCUUUUUGAUGGCGGCACUCCCCUAUUAGGGGAGUUGGUUUCGAAAGUUGUGCCAUCUUCGAAAGAUGGUUUCGAAAGUUUGUCAACGGUCUCCCUCGAAAGUUGUGCCAUCUUCACGCGGUGAACCCACACCCAAUUCACACCCCGAUUCGGGACCCCGCAGUGAUGGCGGCGGUGUUCCCGAUCGGGGAAACCCAACACCGAAACCACUCCCCGAGAACGCCCCGUACACCCUAACAAGUACAGUGCACCUUUCUUAAUUCUUACAACAGUUUAUUAAUAACUUUUAAUUUCUUAAGUUCUAAUUUCUUGUUGUGGCAAAUCAUUUUCAUACAUUAAAGCAACCAUAGAUUGUUAAAGGAUCAUCUAAUAUAAACAUAUGAUUACCAAAGAUUGUUAAAGGAUCAUCUCAUAUAAAUAUGUGAUUAAACACCAUGACGGUUAAUCCCGCCAAAAUUUAAACAAUACGAUGGUUUAAAGCAACGACUGUUGAUGGCGAUAGUUAACCACCAUGACGGUUAAUCCCGCCAAAAUUUAAACCAUUUCCAACCGUAUUUGUAACUAUGUAUAUAAUGUGACUUUCCUGGAACAAUGGAGAUCACCAAGAUAGUGUCACUCCAAUAUCCAAUUCCUAUUCAAUUUCAAUUGAAUUGGUCAGAUGGGGAGAUCCAAAUAUGGCUUUAAUCAAACAUAAUAACAUGCCUAUCAAUGAUAUAAGAACUUUUUAUUGUUUGAGUGAGCAGGUUCAUGUAGAUGCAUUGUCUAGCUAUUAAGAGAGAGAAGAACAGUUUAUAGAGGAGGUGGCUAGUUGAGGGAAAAGUGCUUCUGACCAGUGGCGGAACUAGACCAAAAAUUUAGGGGUAUCCCAUUUUUUAUUUUUUAGACCAGGGGUAUUUUUGUAUAACGGAGACUAAGUUGAGGGGUAUUUUUACACUACGAAAACGGAGUUAAGAUGUAUUUUUACACUACGGAGACGGGGUUGAGGGGUAGCCCGUGCUACCCCUAAUAACCUUCUAAGUCCGCCCCUGCUUCCGACAAAUGGUAUCUAUUGAAAAAUCUGCUUCAGAAUUUUCCGGUUAAAAAGAAAAAAGAACUUGAUUUGUCAACUCGCAAGGUAAAACAAAAAGAGCAACCGAUCAAGGUUAUGGAAAAUUUGAAAAACAUAGCCGAUCUAAACUUAAUAACAAAGUAGAUUUGACGAUAGGA